rnacentral:sRNA from 1 species
GCCGGGCGUGGUGGCUCAUGCCUGUAAUCCCAGCACUUUGGGAGGCCAAGGUGGGCGGAUCACUGGAGGCCAGGAGUUCGAGACCAGCCUGGCCAACAUGGCAAAACCCUGUCUCUACUAAAAAUACAAAAAUUAGCCGGGCGUGGUGGCGGAUGCCUGUAAUCCCAGCUACUCAGGAGGCUGAGGCAGAAGAAUUGCUUGAACCCAGGAGGUGGAUGCAGUGAGCCAAAAUUGUGCCACUGUACUCCAGCCUGGGCAACAGAGUGAGACUCCAUCUUA